GUAGGUGGCAAGCGUUGUCCGGAAUUAUUGGGCGUAAAGCGCGCGCAGGCGGUCCUUUAAGUCUGAUGUGAAAGCCCACGGCUCAACCGUGGAGGGUCAUUGGAAACUGGGGGACUUGAGUACAGAAGAGGAAAGCGGAAUUCCAAGUGUAGCGGUGAAAUGCGUAGAGAUUUGGAGGAACACCAGUGGCGAAGGCGGCUUUCUGGUCUGUAACUGACGCUGAGGCGCGAAAGCGUGGGGAGCAAACAUGAUUAGAUACCCUGGUAGUCCACGCCGUAAACGAUGAGUGCUAAGUGUUAGGGGGUUUCCCGCCCCUUAGUGCUGCAGCUAACGCAUUAAGCACUCCGCCUGGGGAUACGGCCGCAAGGCUG
rnacentral:rRNA from 1 species